CACAUUGUGACUGAAAACCAUGAGUAGUUGGAUGUACUUUGUGCAGAUAUGGGGUAAUAUUUAACAAAACUCAGGGCAAGUGAGCGAUACGAACGGUGUGUGUGUGUGUGUG